UACGUAGGCAGCGAGCGUUGUUCGGAGUUACUGGGCGUAAAGGGCGUGUAGGCGGUUGUUUAAGUUUGGUGUGAAAUCUCCCGGCUCAACCGGGAGGGUGCGCCGAAUACUGAAUGACUAGAGUGCGGGAGAGGAAAGUGGAAUUCCUGGUGUAGCGGUGAAAUGCGUAGAUAUCAGGAGGAACACCGGUGGUGUAGACGGCUUUCUGGACCGUAACUGACGCUGAGACACGAAAGCGUGGGUAGCAAACAGG
rnacentral:rRNA from 1 species